rnacentral:rRNA from 1 species
CAGAGAGGAUACACCUGUUCCCAUUCUGAACACAGAAGUUAAGCUCUCUAGCGCUGAUGGUACUUGGUGGGAAACUGCCUGGGAGAGUAGGACGUAGCCACGU